UGUGCGUGGGGAACGACCAGAGCAGGAAGAAAAAGGGUAAAACCCUAAACUCCACAAAAUCUUCCAAUUGAAGGUGCAAUUGAAGACCAAACUUGGAUUUGAAUACAUAUAAACGAUCACCGAGCUAAGGGGAUCGUAAGUUUGACUCUGACAAGCUAGAUGGGAGCUUGGAAAUGAACGGGUCAAAUGUAUACAAGUUCAAGUAUGAAGCUCGCAAGGAUGCAAGGUUGCAGAAACAAACCUGCUGGAAAAUGGUGACCCUCGCGCCACGCGAAGGACCAAGAUGGAUGGGGCAUGACACGCGGCCACGGUCGCGGUAAAUGAUAUCGGUAUCCGGAUGAAGAUCAAGCGCCUAACAAGAACCGAACACACGAUAAAUGAAGCUUCCGCAUUUGAGUUUAAACCUUGUUAUCAAAAGUAAACUAUGUGAACAUUUGUUACUAUCUUUUGAAUGUUUUAAUCAUGUAUGAAUGAUAACUUAUAAAAAGUUUUUGAAAGGUCACA